UGGGGCUGCGCCAGCUCGGGCCAGGGAUCCGCGCCCCCUCCUGGGCGCUCCCUCGCGGCGCAGUGCGCUGUCCUGCUGGCGGCCCUGGAGCCCCCAGGCGAGACCUCAGUUCACUCCCAGCUUCAAAGUAAGGCUUUUCCUGUCCCCAGCUGCUGGGCACCCAGGGGGGCCCGGCCCUUCCCAGACCGCGUAGUGACAAGUCAUCGGACCCUGCGCUCCAAGCUGCUUCUCUCAGGCCGGACUGGGGGCGCCCUGCCGCCCGGCCUUCACCAGGGGUGGCGUGGCGCUUCUGCAGAUACACUUCUGCCUCCCUUAACAGUCGGUCCCUGGGUUCUUAAAGUCAACGUGGUAACCCAAGCCCUGGUCUGGAUUCCUUUCAUUCUCGUAAAUUCACUGUGCUAGUGAUGCUCAUUCGUUCCAGACACGGACUGGGUUCUCGCUGGGCUGGGGAGCUGUCCCUGGCCGCUGCGCGGCCAAAUCCGCCCAAGCCCGGUCUGUGCCGCACCUAGGGGUUAGUGACCCGCGCUGGUGGAAGGACUCCCCAAGAUUGCGGCGGGUGAGGGACGCAUCCGGGCCCAGGCCAGGAGCGCCAGGUCCUGGAAGAGUGGCAAGAAGUCGACAGGUUCUGCUGCAGGCCAGAGCUUCGUGGCGCGUUUACAAGGCCUGGAAUCUUCCUAAGACGGACGGAGAACGGCUUCAACUCCAACUACUGGGCUGUGAAAACACAUCGUCAGUUCUGGCUGCAGGAUGAAAGUCAGUCCAUUAGAAUAAAACGUUUGUGGAGCUACAUUGGUGAUUCCUAAAACCCUGGGAAUCCUCCACCAAGACAGUGGACUGACGCUGUUCUCUGCUCGUCAAUUCGCACAGCAGAAAUGGAUGGCUCGCCUGUUUGUUGAUCUGUCCGCAGCAGAAAAAAACAAGCAAGCAAACGAACAAACAAAACAGCCUCUAAGAAGGGAACUUGGAAGGUCUCCACAGUAAAGCCCAGAUUUCAUGAAUAACCGCUACACCCCAUCAGAUACAAUGCUUCUCUGAAUCCCGAACCAGUGGAGAUGUGCGGCGGCUGACUCGGCCUGCAGCUGUGCUGAGGAUUAAUGAAAUUAGCGGCAAUAUCCAGAAACUUAGCCAGAGCCCUGCGUCCAGUCCAGAACUCUGGAAGCAGAUAGCCUCACAAGGCUUCCAUCUUGCAACCCAGCAGCUGCCGACAAAGAGGAAUGAAACUGCAGCAGAUUUAAAGUCAGAAAGCACAGGAGGUGGUACCUUGCUACUUCCUCGGCUCUUAUACAGCACAGAAGGGAUCCAUGAAUCCCUGCAUACUCCCUGUGAAAGAAUGUUCCCUAUGGUAAUGGAAGUUGAGAGCCAGCAAGCCUGCAGGGACCACUUUUGGGAGGAACUAGGCAAUGCUGUUGCAGGGGAUAUGAGGCAAUUUGCCAAGGCCAAGGACCUGAUAAUGGGGUUUGACUGAACCUCAGAGGUUCUGCCCAGGCACUACGAGCCAAAGUGGAGUCAGUUAUCCAGGGAAGGACUCCAAGUCCUCACCAUGUCCAGGAUACUGUAUCAGUUAGGUUUUGCUGUGUAACAAAGCACCUCAAAACUUAGCAAUGUCAAAGAGUAAGCAUCUAUGAGCUCAGCAUUCUACAGGUUGGGCAGGUGUCUUUGGAGUUGGACUGGCUCAGCUGAUCUUGCUGAGCCCAUUUAGGGAGCAGGUUAGCUGGUGGCUGGGUGAUUUAGAAUGGCCUCCUCGCUGAAUAAAAUGGGUUGUAAGUCAGAGAUUGUGUGGCCAACGAUUUCUUUUAGUGGUUUUCUGUGCUCCAGCUUCAACAUGGUAGAUGCUGUCCCCAAAGAUCAAGGUGAAUUCCUCCAUGAAUAGUCAAAGAGGAGGAGGUCAAGGCCAUCUAGGGGCUGCCUGAGCUUUGCAUUCACAGAUCUGCUUUCCUUUCUGAGAAACCCUUCCUAUUCAGAUGAGUGCUACCUGGAAUGUUCUUUCUCACAGAACAGGAGAAAACUAUAGAACAGUUGUCAAGAGCCAGAGCCCCAGGUUCUAACUUUAACAUGUCUUCAUUUAACAUCUCCAUGCUUCAUUUCUCUCAUUCGUAAGAUAAUAACAGCACUAACUGCUUCAUAGGCUGCUGUGAGUAGUAAUGAGUUAAAACAUGUAAAAUGCUUAGAACAGGGUCUGACAAUAGGGUAUACUCUGUAGAUUAGUAACUAUUUAGUUUACCUUAGAUGUGGCAGCCCUCGAAAAAACACCCCACCAGACUAUAAUACUGCUUUCAAAAUUUAUACAAGAGGGGCACCUGUUGAGGAGCUAGGGAACCUUUUUUUUUUUCCAGUUGCAAAUAUUUUGUCAGCAUGACUUUCUGUGCGGUACUAUCAUAGUUAAUGGAUACACUUUGCAUGUUUAUUUUCACAUUUUACAAUUGCCACAAUGACACAUUCUUACACUGGGAGCCUGUAAAACAUAAAGAGGCAUUAAAGGGAGCAAGGCACUCAAAUUAUGGAGACCCCCACUGUUACAUACAUAAUAUGUACACAUUAUGAAAACGAUGACAUAGUGCACUUCUAGAAAUAUUUUUCACUUGGUAAAAUAUUAUGCGUGCUUCCCCAUGCCACUAUUUUAAUAGCUGCAGGUCAUUCCGUCCUAUGGCUGUAUUACAAAUGCAUUUCUUGACCCCCGAGGGGUGCACUUACAGGGGUGAUGUGGCGCACCAACCACCACCAAGCCAGUGUUUUAACAGAAGGAACCCAUACAAUCUUCAUCUGCUGAAAGAUUAUUGAGCGCUGUCAAUUCUUUCCACCAGCUGCUUUAUUCAUGUGCCCUGCCCACCCUUGACCUUCAUUAUCGUUGAGGGUAGGUGAAUUCAAAUCAAGCACAUCCACAAGCCAGCAAGAGAACAUCAAAAGGCUAGAGGACAGAGCUUAUGACGUAAGAUCAAAGGAAAGAGUAUCCUUUUGUCCAUUGUCUGUCGGUUCUCCCUGUACUUAUCUAUGCAAGCAUCGACAUCUCCUUCCCAUGUUGCUUCGUGUUUUUGAACACGGGAGCGUCUGGUCUGUGUGUCAUCCUGUAACACGUCAGGGCAUAAAAUGGGCCAGACACAUCCUUCCUUCAUUUUAAGGAGAAAACACCUCUGGUAUGCUUCAAGGCUAAAAUAGGGUAGGAAAUACCAAUAAAUUACCUACAUAUGCAAACUCUGAAGCGCCCGAAAUAUAAAAUCUGUUCUAAAUGGACAAUUUUUUCCUGGUGAUAUUCCAUGAUUUGAAUUAUGUAUGUAGGAUAAUUAACAAAUAAAUUGCUCCAGUGUCUGUGCUGAUGACAGAAUCUCAAAGCGAUGAACAACUGGGCGGUGAGAAUCUCCACAGCAGCUGAAUUCUCACAUUACAGGCAAUGAGAUACAGAGCAUGCUCUUCAUGGGGCAUCCUGUGUAUUUUGCUUUUGGGGAAUUAUCCCGUUCUCAGUCCAUUACGUGACUGCAUUUUCUGGGCAGGACCCAGGUAUGGUCACCAAGCCUCCAACCCUCUGGCCCCAGUGACUGAGCUAGGUGACCUGAGCUAGGUCACGGAUACUCCAUUCAGGGUCUUUCCCUCAACAAUUGAGAAAGAGGGGCCAUUAGUAACACCGGACUUGACAUGAAUAGAUUAAAUGUCAGAGCUGCUUGCAGCUACCUUCCUGAGAGCAAAGGUACAUGCUCCAUAAAAUAAUCACUCCCAGUUGUUUAGUUUAUGAUUUUGUGGGCUGCUGGUCUGAGUUGAACUCAGCUGAGGAUUUUGGGGGUUUUUUGUUUCCUUUCUGGUCUUGGCUGGAUCUGCUCCGUGUAUCUACAGGCAGCCCCUGCAUAGCGGGGCCUGGCUGGUCUACGACGGCCUGACCUGGGAUGCUUUGUCUCUAUUCCACGUGGUCUCUGACUCUCCAGCAGACUAACCUCAGCCAGUUCAGAUGGUGGGGGCAUGGGUCUGAGAAAGUGAGUGGGAGCAUGCAAGGUCUUGAGGACUAGGCUCCAAACUGGGGUGGCCUCACUUUGCCCACCUUCUAUCAGUCGAAACAAGUCUCAAGUCCAAUUCAGAUGUAAAGCAGGGGGAGGGUUGGAAUAGACUCCAUCUUCCUCUGAAAAGAGCUGCAGAGACGUUGCAUGGAGGUAGGUCUACCUAGAGGAAAGGGAAUAAUUACGGCUGUUUUUGCAAAUAAUCUUCCAACCUCUGUCUUCAAGUCCCAAUGAGUCAUGUCUCUUCUAUAUGCAAAAUAUACUCCCUCCUCCCAAGAUCUCCUUUCAUCUGGGCUGGAAUGCAUGUUUUGGGGACCUACAUCCUGCCAUGUGAGGCUUCCCUUGAUUGGAGGCCUGUGAACUAAAAAUGACAACUUAUUUGCACCCAGCACACCCCACAUAGAAAUGCAAGGCAUAGAUGAAUGGCCAUGGUAGACUUUUCCAUUCAAAAUACCCUGCCAAGCACAAGUCCUGCUGUGAAAAAUUUUGUCAAUUUGAUGGACCAAAGAAUCUUACCCCUUUUGGAUGAGGUCACUGAGAGGACGUGGCUGCCAGCUGACCCUUGAACUGGACCCUGGCAACUAGAGGCUCCUCACCCCUUCCCUUGUCCUGGGAAUGUACAUUCUGCCCACCGUCCCCACACUAGGAGCUGCUUCAAGGAUGCGGUCUUGAGAGAGUAGGUGCUGCUGAGGUCAUCUGGACUGAAUACGUGACUGAACCCAGUUAAGGCCUCUAGAUAAACUUUUAAGGUUUUGGCAGGUGGGUGCAGAGACUUAUUUGUCUUGUGGCCUCCCACACAAACCUCAUGUGUAAAUUCCCUUGCUUGUUAAAUCUACCGCCAACCAGUCUGGAGUGGCCCACCUCUUUCUUCGAUCUCUUUUUCCUCUCUUUAAGGGGUGAGAGUGCAAAGCAACACUCACAGAGCAGAGGAUGCUGCAGAUGUUCAGGAUGAAGAAAAGGGUCCCAGCAAGAGGCUGUGGAUGGCGCAGAGGCGUUCUUCUUAAAGUGGCUGUUUUCUUCCUUGGCUUCUGCAGAUGCUGGCGUACUAAAUUCUAAAAGUGACUUGGCCAGGUUUUUAUCUUCAGGUCAACAGGAUUUUCUAAUAAAUAAAACACUCAUGCA